rnacentral:rRNA from 1 species
AGAGGAUUACCAUAGUUAUGACGGGUAACGGAGAAUUUGGGUUUGAUUCCGGAGAAAAAGCCUGAGAGACGGCUAUUACUUCCAAGGAAGGCAGCAGGCGCGUAAAUUACCCAAUCCUAAUUUGGGGAGGUAGUGACGAGAAAUACUAGUAUUGGCCUCUAUGAGGACAAUGAUUGGAAUGAGAACAAUGUAAAUACAUUAACGACUAACAAUUGGAGGGCAAGUCUGGUGCCAGCAGCCGCGGUAAUUCCAGCUCCAAUAGUGUAUACUAAAGUUGUUGCGGUUAAAAAGCUCGUAGUCGGAUUUCGAUUUAAAAACAUCUUUAGUAAUUUAUUACAAAGAGAUUCAUUUGAUCUACUAGAAAUGGUGAAAACCAUUUCAAUUUUACUGUGAAAAAAUUAGAGUGUUAAAAGCAGGCAUAUUUGCCAGAAUAUUUCAGCAUGGGAUAAUAAAAAAGGACCAUUGUCAUAAUUUGUUGGUUUCUUUGGCAGGGGUAAUGAUUAAAAGGGACAGUUGGGGCAACUUGUAUUGAUUCGCUAGGGGUGAAAUCCUAUGAUUGAGUCAAGACAAACUACUGCGAAAGCAUUUUGCAUGGAUGUUUUCAUUAAUCAAGAACGAAAGUUGUAGGAUCGAGGAUGAUCAGAUACCGUCGUAGUUACAACCAUAAACGUUGUCGACCCAAGAUUAAGAGAUAUUACAUGGAUGAUUCUCUUAGCAUUGUGUAAGAAAUUAUAAGUAUCCAGUCUCCGGGGGGAGUAUGGUCGCAAGACUGAAACUUAAAGGAAUUGACGGAAGGGCACCACCAGGAGUGGAAUCUGCGGCUUAAUUUGACCCAACACGGGGAAACUUACCGGGUCCGGACUCUACGAGGAUUGACAGAUUGAUAGCUCUUUCUUAAUUUAGAGGGUGGUGGUGCAUGGCCGUUUUUAGUUGGUGGAUUGAUUUGUCUGGUUAAUUCCGAAAACGAACGAGACCUUAACCUAUUAAAUAGUAACGAUAAACAGGGGAUAACUUAAUGAUUUAAACGAAAUACUUCUUAAAGGGACUCUUUGCAUUUUAGUAAAGGGAAGAUUAAGGCAAAAACAGGUCUGUGAUGCCCUUCGAUGUUCCGGGCUGCACGCGCGUUACACUGAAAUAUUCAAUAAGUUCUUAAAUUCCUAUCUCGAAAGGGAUGGGCAAACUUAGCAAAGUAUUUCGUGAUUGGGAUUGUGCCUUGUAAUUAUUGCACAUGAACAUGGAAUUCCUAGUAGGUGUAAGUCAUCAACUUACAUCGAUUACGUCCCCGCCCUUUGUACACACCGCCCGUCGCUGCUACAGAUCGAAUGAUCCGAUGAGGGCUCAGGAUCGAAUUGCAAUUGUUGGCUGAAAGGUCAGCUUUUGUGCUUUAAAAAUUUGUUCAAAUCUUAUUAUUUAGGUGAAGCAGAAGUCGUAACAAGGUU